AGUGAACGCUGGCGGUAGGCCUAACACAUGCAAGUCGAACGGCAGCACAGUAAGAGCUUGCUCUUACGGGUGGCGAGUGGCGGACGGGUGAGGAAUACAUCGGAAUCUACUUUUUCGUGGGGGAUAACGUAGGGAAACUUACGCUAAUACCGCAUACUACCUACGGGUGAAAGCAGGGGAUCUUCGGACCUUGCGCGAUUGAAUGAGCCGAUGUCGGAUUAGCUAGUUGGCGGGGUAAAGGCCCACCAAGGCGACGAUCCGUAGCUGGUCUGAGAGGAUGAUCAGCCACACUGGAACUGAGACACGGUCCAGACUCCUACGGGAGGCAGCAGUAGGGAAUAUUGGACAAUGGGCGAAAGCCUGAUCCAGCCAUACCGCGUGGGUGAAGAAGGCCUUCGGGUUGUAAAGCCCUUUUGUUGGGAAAGAAAAGCAGCAGGUUAAUACCCCGCUGUUCUGACGGUACCCAAAGAAUAAGCACCGGCUAACUUCGUG
rnacentral:rRNA from 1 species